rnacentral:lncRNA from 1 species
UUUGAUAUCACUUCUCACAGAAAAAAAGAUUGCCUCCUGGGGAGUUCAUUUACACGUGCCAUUCAAGUGAUCCUGACAGGGAUGAAUGGUAAUAAAAAUUAUCCAUCCUUUGAACGUGAUUUGGAUUACACUGCAGAAUUUACAUGUCAAUAUUGGAUAGAGCUGUAGGGGGAUACGCGCAAGAAAUACAGGGUUAUACGUGCACAUGGUUUGUCAUUACCUUCUUGACACCACUCACUCUACAUGCCUGUUCUUUAUUUAUAGGCAAGCAGCAUGCUGACAUUUCAAUAUUCCUUCGGCUCAACAGUUCAGAGUACAGUCACAGCAAGAAAAGCAACCCAUGUAACCAUGAGUAGCCUGAGAUUCAUUUCACUGGAUUUCCCAAGAAUUACAUUUUAAUUUGAAAGACCAUUGAACUCCUACUGAUCUGAAAUUGAAUGCUGUAGAGCUCCUUUAAACUGCUUCUGGCAUUUAAACGGCAUUGAAGGAAAGGAUUUCACAGGAGAUAUAAAAGAUUUCUGUAAAACUGAUUCUGAACUGAUAAAGUUACUUUGAGAUGAGCAUUUAGGAGAUUUUGUCCAUUGAAGAAACUUUGUUGGCCAAUGGGAGCAACAAGAAACAACAACAAAAGUACAGUCAUCAAUGUUUAGGCUGUCAUCCUGCUGAUAUGAUGGGAGCCACAAGUAGUCGUAACAGCAUGAAGGAGCUCACACUUAUCUGGAAGCCUUUCAGGAAGCCUGGAGGCUCUUGAUAUGUCAUUUUCCAGCUACCCAAGAAUCCGCUGCAUCAGGUGAAUGCA